rnacentral:rRNA from 1 species
UACAGAGGUCCCAAGCGUUGUUCGGAUUUACUGGGCGUAAAGGGCGCGUAGGUUGCAAGCUAAGUCUAAUGUGAAAGCUCUGAGCUUAACUCAGAAAUGGCAUUGGAAACUAGUUCGCUAGAGGAUUGAAAGGGAGAUUGGAAUGCUCGGUGUAGCAGUGAAAUGCGUAGAUAUCGAGCGGAACACCAGUGGCGAAGGCGAAUCUCUGGGCAAUUCCUGACACUGAGGCGCGAAAGCUAGGGGAGCAAACGGG